CUUCAUUCGCGACCUAGGGUUUCUGCAACUUCAAUCUUAUUUCUGCCUCUCCUUCAUCAUUGCAUCUCUCACGAUCUCAAAUCGUCAUCAACAAGUGUUUUGCAAUCGUUCGUAAUCUAAGGUUUCUCCAUCUUCAAUCAUACAUAUGUUCUGAUAAUCAAACGUCUUCAUCACAAAGGCAUGUUGUUCUUCCUCGGGAAGUUGUGAAGGUAUUUAUAAAGACUCGGCUUCUAUCCUAAGUAUAUUGUAGAUUUUCAUAUGUUAUUAAGGUAUUUUUUGUGAAGGUAUUUAUAAAGAAUCCGCUUCUAUCUGUGAAGGUAUUUAUAAAUCUUUUAUAUACAAAGAAAUAAUAUAUUUACCUGUGAUAUUUGAUGGGAGAACUACAGCCUUCACUGCAGUAUGUGACACAAAUCUCUGGUAUAUUAUGUCAUUUGUUAUCUCUUUUUACAGGCUUUGAUCCGUGUGUGAAGAUGAUGGCUAUGAUGGCAUGUGUGAAGAUGAUGAAAACAUAGAUCACAUAAAAUUCAUGUGUGUUGUUCCAGGCGUUCAACAAAGUCUGCUAUUAAUUUGUUAUUGGAUUUAGAAUUUGAUUUUGAUUUUGAUGUUUGUUUGUGACUGAAUUUGAUUUUGUUUAUGUAGGAUUGCAUUGAGACGACAUCGGCAAUUAGAGCUACAAUUUUACUUACUUUUAGGUUUUUGUAUUUUAGUCUUUCCCUUCUUAUUAUGUUUAUUUGAUGACUUCUAAUAUGACGUGUGGUAUUUUAAUUUGUUGAUAAGGCUGGUGUCCCCAUCAGGGAUCCACGCGUUGCCUCUGAAACGCUUUGUGGCAUCAUGUUCGCACAUUAGAAAGCAAGAGACGAUAGAGAAGAUACAAAGAUAGAAGAAGAGUAGUGCCGGAGACCGCUCUACCUUAUAAGAUUGCGGGACAGUGUUAGGAGAUUUUUGAACUAUGCGUCGUUGUUCAGGUUUGCUUCCCAGUUCGGCCGUUAUUUUUGGUACUCCAG
rnacentral:lncRNA from 1 species